rnacentral:rRNA from 1 species
AUUGAACGCUGGCGGCAGGCCUAACACAUGCAAGUCGAACGAGUGGCGGCCGGGUGAGUAAUGUCUGGGCAACUGCCUGAUGGAGGGGGAUAACUCCUGGAAACGGUAGCUAAUACCGCAUACCAUCGGAUGUUCCCAGAUGGGCUUAGAUAGUAGGUGGGGUAACGGCUCACCUAGGCGACGAUCCCUAGCUGGUCUGAGAGGAGGACCAGCCACACUGGAAAUGAGACACGGUCCAGACUCCUACGGGAGGCAGCAGUGGGGAAUAUUGCACAAUGGGCGCAAGCCUGAUGCAGCCAUGCCGCGUGUAUGAAGAAGGCCUUCGGGUUGUAAAGUACUGUCAGCGGGGAGGCGUUACCCGCAGAAGAAGCACCGGCUAACUCCGUGCCAGCAGCCGCGGUAAUUC